rnacentral:rRNA from 1 species
CCUACGGGGGGCUGCAGUGAGGAAUAUUGGUCAAUGGACGCAAGUCUGAACCAGCCAUGCCGCGUGCAGGAAGACGGCUCUAUGAGUUGUAAACUGCUUUUGUACGAGGGAAAAAGCAGAUACGUGUAUCUGUCUGAAAGUAGCGUACGAAUAAGGAGCGGCUAACUCCGUGCCAGCAGCCGCGGUAAUACGGAGGAUUCAAGCGUUAUCCGGAUUUAUUGGGUUUAAAGGGUGCGUAGGCGGUCGGAUAAGUUAGAGGUGAAAUCCCGAGGCUCAACUUCGGACUUGCCUCUGAUACUGUUCGGCUAGCGCGUAGUUGCGGUAGGCGGACUGU